UACAGAGGGUGCGAGCGUUAAUCGGAAUUACUGGGCGUAAAGCGCACGUAGUCGGCUUUGCAAGUCGGGUGUGAAAUCCCCGGGCUCAACCCGGGAACUGCGUCCGAGACUGGAAGGCUUGAAUCCGGGAGAGGGAUGUGGAAUUCCAGGUGUAGCGGUGAAAUGCGUAGAUAUCUGGAGGAACAUCGGUGGCGAAGGCGGCAUCCUGGACCGGUAUUGACGCUGAGGCGCGAAAGCCAGGGGAGCAAACGGG
rnacentral:rRNA from 1 species